CCUACGGGAGACAGCAGUGAGGAAUAUUGGUCAAUGGACGCAAGUCUGAACCAGCCAUGCCGCGUGCAGGAAGAAGGCUCUAUGAGUUGUAAACUGCUUUUGUACGAGGGUAAACGCAGAUACGCGUAUAGGUCUGAAAGUAUCGUACGAAUAAGGAUCGGCUAACUCCGUGCCAGCAGCCGCGGUAAUACGGAGGAUUCAAGCGUUAUGCGGAUUUAUUGGGGUUAAAGGGUGCGUAGGCGGUCGGAUAAGUUAGAGGUGCAAUCCCUCGGCUCAGCUUCGGAAUUGCCUCUGAUACGGUUCGGCUAGAUCGUAGUUGCGGUAGGCGGAAUGUAUGUUGUCGCGGUU
rnacentral:rRNA from 1 species